rnacentral:lncRNA from 1 species
AGAAUAGAAGACUGGGACGAAAACUACUGUCAGCAAGCUUAUUUUUGGAGCCAUUGACUGCAAAAGAACCAUAACUUAGAUGAAAUAAUCUGCUAGUGAUCUUGAUGGCAGGCAUAAUAAGCCUGGGAAGUAGCUAAUGCUUUGAAAGCUCGUGUGCCUCUCAGCUGAGAAGAUCUCAUUGGCAAGUUGAUCAUGCUUUGAACAAUGUCAAGUUCACUGUUGCCAUUUGAACCUGGAAUUGUUAAGUCUAUGCAAG